rnacentral:rRNA from 1 species
UACGAAGGGGGCUAGCGUUGCUCGGAAUCACUGGGCGUAAAGCGCACGUAGGCGGGUCGUUAAGUCAGGGGGUGAAAUCCUGGAGCUCAACUCCAGAACUGCCCUUGAUACUGGCGAUCUCGAGUUCGGGAGAGGUGAGUGGAACUGCGAGUGUAGAGGUGAAAUUCGUAGAUAUUCGCAAGAACACCAGUGGCGAAGGCGGCUCACUGGCCCGAUACUGACGCUGAGGUGCGAAAGCGUGGGGAGCAAACA